rnacentral:rRNA from 1 species
UACGUAGGGGGCUAGCGUUGUCCGGAAUCAUUGGGCGUAAAGAGCGUGUAGGCGGCCCGAUAAGUCCGCUGUGAAAGUCCAGAGCUCAACCCUGGGAUGCCGGUGGAUACUGUCGGGCUCGAGUCCGGAAGAGGAGUGUGGAAUUCCUGGUGUAGCGGUGAAAUGCGCAGAUAUCAGGAGGAACACCAAUGGCGAAGGCAGCACUCUGGGACGUGACUGACGCUGAGACGCGAAAGCGUGGGGAGCAAACAGG